CACGUAGGCACCAAGCGUUGUCCGGAUUUAUUGGGCGUAAAGAGCUCGUAGGCGGUUUGGUAAGUCGGGUGUGAAAACUCUGGGCUCAACCCAGAGAGGCCACUCGAUACUGCUAUGACUUGAGUACGGUAGGGGAGUGGGGAAUUUCUAGUGUAGCGGUGAAAUGCGCAGAUAUUAGAAGGAACACCAGUGGCGAAGGCGCCACUCUGGGCCGCAACUGACGCUGAGGAGCGAAAGCAUGGGUAGCAAACAGG
rnacentral:rRNA from 1 species